rnacentral:sRNA from 1 species
UCUGUGGUCACUUGGUUACUCUGGCUCCGGUUGUGUAGGAGAACAUGGUUGGAAGCUGAAGUGUGUGACAGGAAGUCAAAGCUAGAGGCGAGCUGCUCUGUUCAAAAUGUACCAUGAAAAUUCACACGCCCUUGGAUGUGCUUACUGGGUACCACAGACCUCGAGAAUAGGACUGGCCUCCCUGUUGUGUGGCUGGUGCUUGAGGCUGGUGCUGGGGGAUCUAACCCUUGGCCUCACAUGACCUGGGCAUGAGAUCUUCCACCUGACACACCCAGUCCCAUGGAACUCCAUCACCUCUGUCACUGCCUUGACAGAGCGCCUGACAGGCAAGUGAAGGCAGCCAGUCAUACUGCAUCUGCCCUCAGGAAGCAGAAUGAGGAGCCAUUGCUCAGCUCACUUUCGACUUUUGUAAGUCCAGGACCACAGCCCAUGGAGUUCUACCAUCCAGUUUGAAGGUAUUGGACCCCCUAGAAUUGGAGUCACAGUUGUGAGUUGCCAUAUAAACACUGGGAAUUCAGCCUGGGUCCUCGGGAAGAGCAGCCACUGCUUAACCACUGAGACAUCUCUCCAGCCCCAGUGAUGUUCAGUCUUCAUCGUCGGUGCUACUGGAUCUAUAACCACCUGGCAGAAACACUCUAGGCAUUGAAGGCAAUUCCAGAGAGGUUGGACAGAGAGAUGAGAACCACCCUGAGAUGGGUGGCCUCAUCCCACGGGCUCGGAACCCAUGAGAGUGAACAAAAGGAAUGGAGAAGGUAAACCAAGGUGAACUAUCCAUGUCUCUGCUUCCACAACCCAGAUGCAAUGUCACCAGUCACCUCACACGUCCACAGCCAUGCUUUCCCUGCUAGGAUCAACCGUUAGCCCCUCAACCCCGAGCCAUGAUAAACUCUUUCUUACUUU